GUACGAGAGGACCGGGACGGACGUACCUCUGGUGUGCCAGUUGUUCCGCCAGGAGCAGGGCUGGUUGGCUACGUACGGAAGGGAUAACCGCUGAAAGCAUCUAAGCGGGAAGCCUGUUUCAAGAUGAGGUUUCUGUUGAGGUUCCCCGUAGAUGACGGGGUUGAUAGGCCGGACCUGGAAGCACCGCAAGGUGUGGAGGCGACCGGUACUAAUUAACCGACCUAAACACACAC
rnacentral:rRNA from 1 species